rnacentral:lncRNA from 1 species
AUGUUGUCCUGCUGCCUCCAAGGGAAGGAUGGCAUCUCAGGCAUCUCCAGAGAGAAUGUAAGCACGUCAUUUUCAAUGGAAUCGGGGAAGGUUAGAAAUGGAAGACUUGAAUGCCAGGCUUCAGUUAUCCUCCCCGAUACAAUGAGAAAGACCCACAUGUUUUCCUUGGAUAUUUAUAUCCAGGAUAUGAGAUCAGUGAGGAGGAGGGAAAAGGAACUGAUGUUUACCCAGUGCUUUAUGUGUGCCAUACAUGCUUUGACAUAUAUCAUCUCAUCUAGUCCCUGAUGGCAGCAUUCUGAGAGGUACGUUUACCCCCCAUUUUUGUGGAUGAGAAUGCUGAGGCUGGUAAUUAAGGAGAUUGCCCAGAAAAACACAAUUAGAAAGUGGUGGAACCAGG